UACGUAGGGUGCGAGCGUUAAUCGGAAUUACUGGGCGUAAAGCGUGCGCAGGCGGUUUUGUAAGCCAGAUGUGAAAUCCCCGGGCUUAACCUGGGAAUGGCAUUUGGGACUGCAAGGCUCGAGUGCGGCAGAGGAGACUGGAAUUCCUGGUGUAGCAGUGAAAUGCGUAGAUAUCAGGAGGAACACCGAUGGCGAAGGCAGGUCUCUGGGCUGACACGUGACGCUCAUGCACGAA
rnacentral:rRNA from 1 species